rnacentral:rRNA from 1 species
UACGUAGGGAGCAAGCGUUGUCCGGAAUCAUUGGGCGUAAAGCGCGCGUAGGUGGCUUCGUAAGUCCGUUGUGAAAGUCAAAGGCUCAACCUUUGAAAGCCGAUGGAUACUGUGAAGCUAGAGUACGGAAGAGGCGAGUGGAAUUCCUGGUGUAGCGGUGGAAUGCGCAGAUAUUAGGAGGAACACCAAUAGCGAAGGCAGCUCGCUGGGACGUUAACUGACACUGAGGCGCGAAAGCGUGGGGAGCGAACAGG